GAGGGAUCAUUACCGAGUUUACAACUCCCAAACCCCUGUGAACAUACCUAUACGUUGCCUCGGCGGAUCAGCCCGCGCCCCGUAAAACGGGACGGCCCGCCCGAGGACCCUAAACUCUGUUUUUAGUGGAACUUCUGAGUAAAACAAACAAAUAAAUCAAAACUUUCAACAACGGAUCUCUUGGUUCUGGCAUCGAUGAAGAACGCAGCAAAAUGCGAUAAGUAAUGUGAAUUGCAGAAUUCAGUGAAUCAUCGAAUCUUUGAACGCACAUUGCGCCCGCCAGUAUUCUGGCGGGCAUGCCUGUUCGAGCGUCAUUUCAACCCUCAAGCUCAGCUUGGUGUUGGGACUCGCGGUAACCCGCGUUCCCCAAAUCGAUUGGCGGUCACGUCGAGCUUCCAUAGCGUAGUAAUCAUACACCUCGUUACUGGUAAUCGUCGCGGCCACGCCGUAAAACCCCAACUUCUGAAUGUUGACCUCGGAUCAGGUAGGAAUACCCGCUGAACUUAAGCA
rnacentral:rRNA from 1 species